rnacentral:SRP_RNA from 1 species
GCCGGGCGCGGUGGCGCGCGCCUGUAGUCCCAGCUACUCGGGAGGCUGAGGCAGGAGGAUCGCUUGAGCCCAGGAGUUCUGGGAUCGCUUGAGCCCAGGAGUUCUGGGCUGUAGUGCGCUAUGCCGAUCGGGUGUCCGCACUAAGUUCGGCAUCAAUAUGGUGACCUCCCGGGAGCGGGGGACCACCAGGUUGCCUAAGGAGGGGUGAACCGGCCCAGGUCGGAAAAGUGUAACCGAGAGACACCCGACCCUGGAAAAAGCCAGAGGACUGGGGCUUUGCUGUACGGGAACCAGCCAU